AUUGAACGCUGGCGGCAGGCUUAACACAUGCAAGUCGAACGAGCGGCGGACGGGUGAGUAAUGUCUGGGAAACUGCCUGAUGGAGGGGGAUAACUACUGGAAACGGUAGCUAAUACCGCAUACCAUCAGAUGUGCCCAGAUGGGAUUAGCUAGUGGGUGGGGUAAUGGCUCACCUAGGCGACGAUCCCUAGCUGGUCUGAGAGGAAGACCAGCCACACUGGAACUGAGAAACGGUCCAGACUCCGACGGGAGGAAGCAGUGGGGAAUAUGGGACAAGGGGCGCAAGCCUGAUGCAGCCAGGCCGCGUGUGUGAAGAAGGCCUUCGGGUUGUAAAGCACUUUCAGCGAGGAGGCGUUACUCGCAGAGGAAGCACCGGCUAACUCCGUGCCAGCAGCCGCGGUAAUAC
rnacentral:rRNA from 1 species